UGGGACAGAGAGCUGGAGAGGCAGAGCAAAACUGGAGGGUUAUACAACAACAUCUUCUGGUAGUUUUGACACUGUUUGGACCAGGAGGAGCUGAAUCUGUAUCUCUGUAGGUGAGUAAAACAUAAGAAGUGCUGCAUUCACUGAUCGAUCACAUCGGCUUUUUUGAUGUAAGUUUAAAACAUUUUCUUUUAGCUGGUCAAGACUAAUAUGUAUUUAAAAUUUUGGCUCCAAUAACUUUGUUUCAGCUCAGGGAUACUGUCAUUUUUAUUAUUUUCAUAUAUUUACCAGACCAUGAACUUAUCACAAUAAUCAUAAAAACUUCAACAGAUAAUCUGUCAGUGAAAACAAACAUUUCCUGCAGCCCAGAACUGCUAAUCUAAAAUUUGAAUGGUAUCAAAUAUGCGCAAAAUCUGUAUGUAUUUGAGUGUCAGUUGCGUCAAUGCUCACCUGUAUGUGUGCCCAUGCAGGAUGAAGAACAAUUCCAGACAUCCAGACUUCGUGUGAUGAAAUUCCUCUGUGGAGUUUCGACUCUGAUGGGAGAUUGAAGGAGAGGGAGUCCCUCAGGUAUGCAGGCCACCAUCUGCUGAUGGAGAGGGAGACAGACACCACUCACAUUCCUGUUGCUACAACAACUUUCGCUCUCAGCUUUAGGAGGAAGGAGACUGAAGGCAUUCCCUGAUUCCUCCCUCCUCUCUCUCCGUUUCUGUUUGUUUUUCUUUGUUUUGCUGCUCAGCACAGACCGGGUCUCCCUGUUGGCACGGAUCUGGACAGAAACUGUUUCGAGCUUGAAAAACAUACCGAGAAAAGUCAGCUUUUCAUAGCAUAACGUCAUGUCAUGGGGUUGUGAUUUCCUCACGAGGAGAUUCCAG